AGAGUUUGAUCCUGGCUCAGAGCGAACGCUGGCGGCAGGCCUAAUACAUGCAAGUCGAACGGACCCUUCGGGGUUAGUGGCGGACGGGUGAGUAACACGUGGGAACGUGCCCUUUGGUUCGGAACAACUCAGGGAAACUUGAGCUAAUACCGGAUGUGCCCUUCGGGGGAAAGAUUUAUCGCCAUUGGAGCGGCCCGCGGCUGAUUAGCUAGUUGGUGAGGUAAAGGCUCACCAAGGCUACGAUCAGUAGCUGGUCUGAGAGGAUGAUCAGCCACACUGGGACUGAGACACGGCCCAGACUCCUACGGGAGGCAGCAGUAGGGAAUCUUGCGCAAUGGGCGAAAGCCUGACGCAGCCAUGCCGCGUGAAUGAUGAAGGUCUUAGGAUUGUAAAAUUCUUUCAGCGGGGACGAUAAUGACGGUACCCGCAGAAGA
rnacentral:rRNA from 1 species